UCAAAGACCAUGAAGGGGAAAAGUAGGAUUCGGCCAUUUUUCCCAGAGAGCUUCGGCAGGUGGAAAGAAGCAAAAAUGCGAAUCCGAACAAUGGCCCCGGAGUUGCGUGCUGAACGCGGCCGUUUUUUCGGCCGUCAGUAGGUUCCGACGAGCUCGGUACUCGUUACAACUACCGCAGUAUGAAGGCGCGAUGCCGCAAGCGUCGAUGCCGUAGUACUGGCUGAGGCCGUCUUGCGCGAGCGGGCGGUGAAGUAAGGUGGUACCACGUGAACCCAACCACGUCCUUAUC
rnacentral:ncRNA from 1 species